rnacentral:rRNA from 1 species
GUGCAGCAGGCGCGAAAACUCCACAAUGCGCGAAUGCGUGAUGGGGUUAGCCCGAGUGCCGUCCGAUGAGGAUGGCUUUUCUCCAGUUUAAGGAGCUGGAGGAAUAAAGGGGGGGCAAGACUGGUGUCAGCCGCCGCGGUAAUACCAGCCCCCUGAGUGGUAGGGACGAUUAUUUGGCCUAAAGCGUCCGUAGCCGGCUUGGUAAGUCUUUCGUCAAAUCCGACGAUUCCAUCGUCGGCCCGCGGAAGAUACUGCUAGGCUUGAGGACGGGAGAGGUCGACGGUAGUCCCGGGGUAGGGGUGAAAUCCUAUAAUCCCGGGAGGACCACCAGUGGCGAAGGCGGUCGACUAGAACGUGCCUGACGGUGAUGGACGAAAGCUGGGGGAGCGAACCGGAUUAGACACCCGGGUAGUCC